rnacentral:piRNA from 1 species
UGAGCAAAGAGUCCUACUCCACAGAGA